rnacentral:rRNA from 1 species
CAGCCUACGGGGGGCAGCAGUGGGGGGUAUUGCACAAUGGGGGAAACCCUGAUGCAGCGACGCCGCGUGAGCGAUGAAGUAUUUCGGUAUGUAAAGCUCUAUAAGCAGGGAAGAAAAUGAAGGUACCUGACUAAGAAGCCCUGGCUAACUACGUGCCAGCCGCCGCGGUAAUACGUAGGGGGCAAGCGUUAUCCGGAUUUACUGGGUGUAAAGGGAGCGUAGACGGUCCUGCAAGCCAGAUGUGAAAGCCCGGGGCUCAACCCCGGGACUGCCUUUGG